UCUGACGUUAAACGUGACUAGUGGCGAGACUGUCGAGUACAGAAUCGAGGUGUUGUGAAGAACAUUCGAUCGUCAGUUGAUUUUUUCGCGGCCGGUGGCUCAGGCGGUUCGCAACUCGCGAUUAACGAACAUCAGUGUGUUGGUAGAGUCGACGCGAUCACUACGCGUCGAAGUCCUAUAUCGUAGUACCUUACCGGUGCAGUGCGCGAACUUAACGACGACAAAACACGUCGGGUUAAAGACAAUAUUGUUUGUGCCUUAGGAAGUUUACUGUGACAUUGUUGACGAAGAUUGGAAGGUAUCUUUCUAAGGAACCAAACCAGUAGUUCGAAGACAUCAAGUGACAAUGGGGUAAGCCGUGCGAAGCGGCGGGUUAUUGGACUGAUUAAUUGGGACAUAAGUGUUAGUGUAUAGAAAUUCUCUAGGAGUGUUAGAAAGAAAUUGCCAAGAUGUAUUCUAUGAACUAUAUCGGGAAGUUCAUAGCGAACUUUAGGGAGUUUUACAAUGAGAUUAACGGGGCGACGCUGACCGGGGCCAUAGACGUAGUGGUGGUGGAGCAGCCUGAUGGCAGCUUCACAUGCUCGCCCUUCCACGUGCGCUUCGGCAAGCUGGGGGUGCUGCGCUCUAGGUUCAAAGUGGUGGACUUGGAACUGAACGGCGAGUCGCUGCCCAUACAUAUGAAGUUAGGGGAGUCCGGGGAAGCGUUUUUCGUGGAGGAAGUGGGUGAGGACGAGGCCGGCUGGUCCGCGCACCUCGCCACCUCGCCCAUCCCGGCCGCGCGCUUCGACCAGCUGUACGAGCCGCGCCGCCGCAACUCGCUCUCCGCCGUCGAGCCCGACCAUGGACAGGCUUCCGAUUACACCAAGCGCAGGUACACCGCCGACGGCCAGUCCAUGCAGAAACCAGACAUUAGUAAAUUAAAGCAGGCGAAAAAAGAUGCCAAACCGACCAGCGAUCACGAUAACGAUGCGUUGUUCGAGAUGGACGGAUUGGAUGGCCUCGACGAGACGCCGACGAACUGGGGCGAUUCGCGGACGCCUAAAACGUUCUCGGCGACGCAGCUGGAGGCCGGGAGCGAGGCCAAGCAGACUGUGCAAAUGAUCAGCGCGCACAACGACUUCCGCCCCAUCGAGGCCGCCCCUAUCCUCGACGACUCUAAAGUCAACGGCAACGGAAAGAAAAAGAAGAAAACUAGGAAAGUCAGUUCAAAGAAGAAGCACCAACGGAAGUCGUCGACGAGCUCUAUCUCCAGCCAGUCGGACCGCGCGGGUUCCGAGCAACGUCCCUCACAGCCUACAGCCAUUCCCAAUGCUACAGACAUCAACUUCUUUAGCGACAACGAAAUAACUUCUGCGACACUUAGCGAAGAGAUGUCGAACCUGAAGCUGACCGGGGACAACCGCAUCCCGAUGGCGCUGUCCGACACCGCGUUCGAGGUGCACGCCGCCUCCAGACACGCGGGAUCCCGCGGUGGCACGCCCGUGCAAUCGGACACAGAAGUCGAGCUGGCCCGGACCGCGAAGGGCGACAAGUCCUCGCAGUCAUGGCGAUGGGGCGAGCUGCCCGAGCCGCCGGUCCGCACGGAAUGCGCCAGUUCGCCCACGGAGCUGGGCUCCUCUGCUACCCCGGGGUCUCCCGCCUCGCCUGGGACCCCGGGUACUCCCGGCUCGCCUAUCGAACCUCUCAGCUCCGAUGAAGAACGCGCGGGACGUUCGGGGGUGUUCAGCGGCAUGUUCCGCUUCAUGUCAACGCGCGAGGCCACCGAGGCCGCGGAGGGCGUGUACCUGGACGACCUGGACCGGGGGCAGGUCGACCCGGACCUUUACUUCCCUAAACACCACGUGGGACGGCAUCGGAGUGGUAUGGCGAACGUAUCUCACGAGAACACGGGGCCUACAGAAGAGGAGUACGAAUCAGGCAACGGGCCCUCCCUGCCCCAGUCCCCGGCCUCGCUAGAACCCCCACAACUCGACUCGGACGACGAUGAGAAACUACUCGCCAAGGGUCAAGUCGGCGUCUACGUGCGUGAAGACCAAGUGUCCCGCGCGCUGCCCUUCGAAGAGUUCUGCGCGACCGGCGGCACGCUGGCGGCUCAGGGGCGGCUGGUGGUGCGGCUCGGCGACCGCUGGCUGCCGUGGCGCAGCGCCGGCCCGCUGCUGCUGUCGCUGCUGGCGUACCGGAGACCGCUGCCGAGCAGGGUGCUGGAGUCUCUAGAGAAGAGCAUAGAGAAAGAGGGGUCAGAGCCGCCGGCGGACGCCAAGCCGCGCGGCUACUCGUGGUGGAGCUGGCGCCGCUCCGCCGGGGCUGAGGCCAAACGCACGGAGCCAACUAAAGAUGAAUUCAAGAGUUCCAGUUUCCCCGAAACAGAAUACAUUAGCAUGGAUUUGAAAAUGGAAACCACCGAAGGAAUAGUCGCCGAGGAGGUUCUGCCCGAAAACUUAGAAACAAUUGAAGUCAGGGAGGUCAAAGAACCUGCCGAUCUCAUAGACCCUACUCAAGAACAACUAAGCGACGAGGGCCCAACAAUGCUACCCGAAACCAAAUCUCACGAUCAAGCGGAUCACCCCGAACACCCUGAACUCCCGGAACACGCGGAGCCGAGCUCUUCGGAUUCGGAGCAGGAGCAGCCGCAGCGGCCGUCGCGCCGGCACUCCACCUUUAGGAAAACGCUUAGGCUUUCUUCGGACCAAAUCAAAAAGCUUAACCUCCGCGAGGGCAUGAAUGAGAUGGUGUUCAGCGUGACGACCGCCUACCAGGGCACCACGCGCUGCAAGUGCAACGUGUUCCGCUGGCGGUACGACGACAAGAUCGUCAUCUCCGACAUCGACGGUACCAUCACCAAGUCUGACGUGUUGGGACAUAUCUUUCCACUGGUGGGGAAAGACUGGGCGCAGUCGGGUGUGGCUCAGCUGUUCACUAAGAUCAAGAAUAAUGGCUAUCAGCUGCUGUAUCUAUCCGCGAGAGCUAUUGGACAAGCUAGGGUAACGCGCGAGUACCUCCGCUCGAUCCGCCAAGGCGAGACCUGCCUUCCAGAUGGGCCUCUCCUCCUGAACCCGACGUCACUACUGCGCGCCUUCCACCGUGAGGUUAUCGAGAAAAAGCCUGAAGAGUUCAAGAUCCAGUGCCUCGCCGACAUCAAGGCUUUGUUCCCGCAGGGAUCCAACCCGUUCUACGCGGGAUACGGGAACAGAGUCAACGACGUAUGCGCGUACCAGGCCGUCGGUAUUCCUAUCGUGAGAAUAUUCACCAUCAACUACAAAGGGGAGCUCAAACACGAGCUGACGCAGACAUUCCAAUCGACCUACAACGUGCAAAGUGACAUGGUCGAUGAUUUGUUCCCGCCACAAAAAUGCGAUAACGUUGUUAUAAGCUAGUCCAAACUCGAAUAACCUUAGUUAAAUAAAUAGUGGCGCACAAGCAACGCAAUGGUACUCGCACAUGUCGGUGCUGGUGGACCAGGUGUUCCCUCCGGCGCAGUGCGAGCCGUGCGACGAGUUCUCGCAGACCGUGUUCUGGCGCGACCCGCUGCCCGCGCUCGACGUGCCGCUGCCCGCCCCUGCGCCGCC
rnacentral:misc_RNA from 1 species